ensembl:lncRNA
ACAACUUUGGUCCACUGAUCUACGGCACCAGGAAAACCCAAAGCUUCACCAUGGAAAACCAUGGAGACUUCAAGACUUUUUUCACCAUCACAGACCCUACACUCCUAAGCAGGACAGGCAUGUCUUUUAUCCUGUCUUCCUUCUCUCACCCCAACCGGUCGCAGCAGAUGGCCGCCCCUACCUGAGCCUGGUUCUGCCAGAGGUUUCUUCCUGUUAAAAGGGAGGUUUUCCUUCCCACUGUUGCCAAAGUGCUUGCUCAUAGGGGGUCAUAUGAUUGUUGGGUUUUUCUCUGUAUCUAUGAAGCGCCUUGAGGCGACUUAUGUUGUGAUUUGGCGCUAUAUAAAUAAAAUUGAAUUGAAUUGAAUUGAAUUGUUUUUAUUAUAGAUAUAGAUAUAUACUGCCCAUGAGUGUAUAGUAAUUAAAUCGUUCUUUUAGCUGUCAUUAAGUAGAAUUCUUUUUUUUUUUCAUGCAAACAUUUGUUUAUUAAUUUUUUUUCUCCUGUCAAAAAGGUUUGUCUGAUAAUAUAGUUUCUGGGCUUUCAAAAUUGUAUAUUCCCGAGAUUUGAUGAGUUAGUUAAUUACGAAGAGAUAUUUUGACCCACUACUAACUCUGAAAUACCUCCCCCGUUGUCCGUGAAAAGAAGUUUAUAGUGCUGAAGCAUUAUAGUUUUCAUAAUGUUAAUGAUUAAGUGUUAAUGUAAUCCUAAUAAUUUGGGGCUUUUUGUUUUGUUUUUAACACAAUAACAGGAAAAAACCUUUCAGGGAGGUCUAGUCUUUCCAGCGCGACAAGAGUCUUUCCAGAAUUUUCUACAGUUGAGAAACUACUGGUGAAUUUUACAGCAGUGAUGGAGGAUAACACGUUACCCUGUGUAUUUGUUUUGGCCAUAAUUGCACUGUUUGUCAUUUUGAGAUUAUUCAGCCUUGUGUAAUUAAAUCAUGAAUAAUCAUAAAACAGUCCUGAUUUUUUUUGUGUUUUAAUUGAUCAAACUCAUUUGAGUUUUUGCACAAGAGAAACAC